GUUUGAAUUGCUGGUUUAUAUGGUAAGCUUAGGUUUAACCUUUUAAGAAACUGCUAAAUUGUUUCUCAAAGUUAUCUUGUCAUUUUACAUUUCUACUAGAAAU
rnacentral:pre_miRNA from 1 species